rnacentral:rRNA from 1 species
GAACGCUAGCUACAGGCUUAACACAUGCAAGUCGAGGGGAAACGACAUCGAAAGCUUGCUUUUGAUGGGCGUCGACCGGCGCACGGGUGAGUAACGCGUAUCCAACCUGCCCACCACUUGGGGAUAACCUUGCGAAAGUAAGACUAAUACCCAAUGACGUCUCUAGAAGACAUCUGAAGGAGAUUAAAGAUUUAUCGGUGAUGGAUGGGGAUGCGUCUGAUUAGCUUGUUGGCGGGGUAACGGCCCACCAAGGCUACGAUCAGUAGGGGUUCUGAGAGGAAGGUCCCCCACAUUGGAACUGAGACACGGUCCAAACUCCUACGGGAGGCAGCAGUGAGGAAUAUUGGUCAAUGGACGAGAGUCUGAACCAGCCAAGUAGCGUGCAGGAUGACGGCCCUAUGGGUUGUAAACUGCUUUUAUAAGGGAAUAAAGUGAGUCUCGUGAGACUUUUUGCAUGUACCUUAUGAAUAAGGACCGGCUAAUUCCGUGCCAGCAGCCGCGGUAAUACGGAAGGUCCGGGCGUUAUCCGGAUUUAUUGGGUUUAAAGGGAGCGUAGGCCGGAGAUUAAGCGUGUUGUGAAAUGUAGAUGCUCAACAUCUGAACUGCAGCGCGAACUGGUUUCCUUGAGUACGCACAAAGUGGGCGGAAUUCGUGGUGUAGCGGUGAAAUGCUUAGAUAUCACGAAGAACUCCGAUUGCGAAGGCAGCUCACUGGAGCGCAACUGACGCUGAAGCUCGAAAGUGCGGGUAUCGAACAGGAUUAGAUACCCUGGUAGUCCGCACGGUAAACGAUGGAUGCCCGCUGUUGGUCUGAAUAGGUCAGCGGCCAAGCGAAAGCAUUAAGCAUCCCACCUGGGGAGUACGCCGGCAACGGUGAAACUCAAAGGAAUU